GCCAGCAUGGCAUAGUGGUUUGAGUGUUGGACUAUGACUCUGGAGACCAGGGUUUGAAUCCCGGCUCAGCCA
rnacentral:tRNA from 1 species